rnacentral:rRNA from 1 species
UACUCAGUUCGGAUUGAAGGCUGAAAUUCGCCUUCAUGAAGCUGGAAUUGCUAGUAAUGGCAGGUCAGCAUACUGCCGUGAAUACGUUCCCGGGCCUUGUACACACCGCCCGUCACACCAUGAGAGUUGGGAAUACCCGAAGCCUGUGAGCUAACUGUAAGGAGGCAGCAGUCGAAGGUAGAAUCAAUGAUUGGGGUGAAGUCGUAACAAGGUAUC